UACAGAGGGUGCGAGCGUUGUUCGGAAUUACUGGGCGUAAAGCGCGCGCAGGCGGCCUUUUAAGUCUGACGGUGAAAUGCCGGGGCUCAACCCCGUGCCCGCCGCGGAUACUGGGAGGCUGGAGACAUGUAGAGGCAAGCGGAAUUCCGGGUCUAGCGGUGGAAUGCGUAGAGAUCCGGAAGAACACCGGAGGCGAAGGCGGCUUGCUGGGCAUUGUCUGACGCUGAGGCGCGAAAGCGUGGGGAGCGAACAGG
rnacentral:rRNA from 1 species